rnacentral:lncRNA from 1 species
CAGGAAUUCCUGCUUGCCAACAUCCAUUGAUUUAAUCAGUGUGAUGGUCAUGAGGACAAACACAGAGUGUCUGCUGCUGAUGGACUGUACUAUGAAACACAAUCUGCUCAGCUCUGUGUGAGUGAGGAGGGCUCUAGCGGAGAGAGGGGGUCCGUCUCGUACCCCCCAUCACCAAACUGCCGCAUUCGUGAAGUGCACUGUGGAAAUCAAGUGCGACUGAUUGUCAUAGCGAUCCGCGACAUUCCAAAGGGGGAGGAGAUCACUGUGGAUUACAGUUUGACCGAGUGGGGAGAAAACGCUAUGGGUUUCCAUGGCACUGUGCCUCCUAGUAGCUUUGAUUGCAGCUUGGACCACGAGAGCAACAUUAAGAAGGUAAAUAUACAUUACAUUUUCAUGAAUACACUUACAGACACACCCAGUUACCAAGCAACAGUCAUUUUCAGGCCUCUUUCUGAAUAUCCUGUCCUUCUGAAAUGAUUGCUGGGCCCCUGGCCAUCAGAACCAUAAGCACCACGGCACACUAAUAUCUC